UAGCAUAUCAAUAAGCGGAGGAAAAGAAACUAACAAGGAUUCCCCUUAGUAACUGCGUAAGUGAAGCGGGAAAAAGCUCAAAUUUAAAAUCUGGCGGUCCUCGCGGCCGUCCGAGUUGUAAUCUGGAGAAAGUGUUUUCCGUGCUGGACCGUGUACAAGUCUCCUGGAACGGAGCGUCAUAGAGGGUGAGAAAUCCCGUCUUUGACACGGACUGCCAGUACUUAUGUGAUACGCUCUCAACGAGUCGAGUUGUUUGGGAAUGCAGCUCAAAAUGGGUGGUAAAUUCCAUCUAAAGCUAAAUAUUGGCGAGAGACCGAUAGCGAACAAGUACCGUGAGGGAAAGAUGAAAAGAACUUUGGAAAGAGAGUUAAACAGUACGUGAAAUUGUUGAAAGGGAAACGCUUGAAGUCAGUCGCGUCUUCCGGGAAUCAACCUUGCAUUCGUGCUUGGCGCACUUCCCGGUCGACGGGUCAACAUCAAUUUUGACCGGCGGAUAAAGGCGUGAGGAAUGUGGCAACUUCGGUUGUGUUAUAGCCUUGCGUCGCAUACGUCGGUUGGGAUUGAGGAACUCAGUACGCCUUUAUGGUCGGGGUUUACCCACGUAACGUACUUAGGAUGUUGGCAUAAUGGCUUUAAUCGACCCGUCUUGAAACACGGACCAAGGAGUCUAACAUGCCCGCGAGUGUUUGGGUGGAAAACCCGAGCGCGAAAUGAAAGUGAAAGUUGAGAUCCCUGUCGUGGGGUGCAUCGACGCCCGGACCAGACCUUCUGUGACGGUUCCGCGGUAGAGCGUGUAUGUUGGGACCCGAAAGAUGGUGAACUAUGCCUGAAUAGGGUGAAGCCAGAGGAAACUUCUGGUGGAGGCUUCGUAGCGAUUUCUGACGUGCAAAUCGAUUCGUCGAAAUUUGGGUAAUAGGGGGCGAAAGACUAAUCGAACCAUCUAGUAGCUGGGUUCCUGCCGA
rnacentral:rRNA from 1 species